GGGCCCGCACAAGCGGUGGAGCAUGUGGUUUAAUUCGAUGAUACGCGAGGAACCUUACCAGGGCUUAAAUGUAGUGAGACAGGUAUAGAAAUAUACCCUUCUUCGGACUCAUUACAAGGUGCUGCAUGGUUGUCGUCAGCUCGUGCCGUGAGGUGUCAGGUUAAGUCCUAUAACGAGCGCAACCCCUAUCGUUAGUUGCCAGCGGGUCAUGCCGGGAACUCUAGCGAAACUGCCGGUGCAAACCGAGAGGAAGGUGGGGAUGACGUCAAAUCAUCACGGCCCUUACGUCCUGGGCUACACACGUGCUACAAUGGCCGGUACAGAGAGCAGCCACUACGCGAGUAGGAGCGAAUCUAUAAAACCGGUCUCAGUUCGGAUCGCAGUCUGCAACUCGACUGCGUGAAGCUGGAAUCGCUAGUAAUCG
rnacentral:rRNA from 1 species